GUUACACCCUACUGGCAGACAGACAGCUCAGUAUAAGGUACCUGUUACAUAGGACCACUGUCACGGAGGUAAAUCAGUCUGUCAAAACAAUGGCACCCUAUUCCCUAUAUAUUGCACUACUAUAGACCAGAGCCCUAUCUCCUAUAUAGUGCACUACUAUAGCCCAGAGCCCUAUAUAGUGCACUACUAUAGACCAGAGCCCCAUUCCCUAUAUAGUGCACUACUAUAGACCAGAGCCCUAUUCCCUAUAUAGUGCACUACUAUAGACCAGCACCCUAUUCCCUAUAUAGUGCACUACUAUAGACCAGAGCCCUAUUCCCUAUAUAGUGCACUACUAUAGACCAGAGCCCUAUUCCCUAUAUAGUGCACUACUAUAGACCAGAGCUCUAUUUCCUGUAUAGUGCACUACUAUAGACCAGCACCCUAUUCCCUAUAUAGCGCACUACUAUAGACCAGAGCCCUAUUCCCUAUAUAGCACACUACUAUAGACCAGAGCCCUAUUCCCUAUAUAGCACACUACUAUAGACCAGAGCCCUAUUUCCCUAUAUAGCGCACUACUAUAGACCAGCGCCCUAUUCCCUAUAUAGUGCACUACUAUAGACCAGCACCCUAUUCCCUAUAUAGUGCACUACUAUAGACCAGAGCCCUAUUCCCUAUAUAGUGCACUACUAUAGACCAGAGCCCUAUUCCCUAUAUAGCGCACUACUAUAGACCAGAGCCCUAUUCCCUAUAUAGUGCACUACUAUAGACCAGCACCCUAUAUAGCACACUACUAUAGACCAGCACCCUAUUCCCUAUAUAGCGCACUACUAUAGACCAGCACCCUAUUCCCUAUAUAGAACACUACUACAGACCAGAGCCCUAUUCCCUAUAUAGCGCAAUGCGUAUGAACACAGCACAUAAGUGCCCUACAAUUUGGCCAGAACCCUAUAAAGGGAAUAGGGUGCCAUUUUGGACUCAUCUUCAGUCCCCCGGUGUUGCCCCAAUCAGGUCUGACCCUUCACUAAGACCUGGGGGGGGGGGCUGUUCUGUUCCAGUGGCUGUAUCAGCCACUGAGAUAUACAUAUAUACGUGUGAGUUAAGUCUCUCGUGAUGACAAAUAAGAUUUGGUUCACGGUGACAAGAUUAUAUUUAUGUAGAGAGAAAGGAGGGUGGGGUUCCGAUUUUGAAAUGUGUAUGUGCCGUUUGACAAUACGGGUGGGAGUGAUGAUGAUGAUGAUGAUGAGCGGACUGGAUAACAGACUUACAGCAAUACGUGAGGAGUCAGAACUAUUGUUUCAACUCCCACACGGUCUUGAGCAGACUGCAGUGGGUGGGGUACACAGCCGACCUUAUAAAACACAGAGGGGGAAACCAAAAGGAUUUCAGAAGGAGAACAUAUGUCCAAUGCAGAGGGAGACAUCCUCAUAAACAGACAACAAUGGAAACUGAAGUACAUUAGGUACUCUUCUGUUUUCCAAUCCUAAAAAAAAAAAAAGGCAUUUUGGACCAGUGGGGAGAAAAACAGAAUUCUCACCAGUCAAUUACACUUGUAACUGAUGACAAUAUCGGUUGCCAUUUUGUUUCUGUCUGCUCAGUGGACUGGCUUCAAACUGAGGGGGGGGGUGGACAACGGCUUGUUCCACAGAACACAGUGCAACUACAGAAGCAGAGAAGUCAGAAGGGAAAAACAUUUCAGCACACACUUCCAGGGCCUAGCUAACAUUUCAGCACACACUUCCAGGGCCUAGCUAACAUUUCAGCACACACUUCCAGGGCCUAGCUAACAUUUCAGCACACACUUCCAGGGCCUAGCUAACAUUUCAUUUUGGGGUGUGACAAGACCAAGAUGAGACAAGAGAACAGGAAACAGAAAAUAAGAAAAGCAGAACCACAACUUUUCAU